AAUCAAUGGUAAAUUCCAAUACAACGGUCGGUGAAUAACGUUGGGAACUUGUAUAUAAUUGUAUGUUGCAUGUUUAGAAAAGAAUGAAGCUGGAUUAAGGAUUUGAAUAUGGCCUGGUUUUGGGGAAAACGGAGCACGCAUGUUUUUUGAUGAUGACGGGCGGAAAUAAAUAGUGAAAACGGUUAAAAGAUGGCUGGAAAAGAAAUUCUUAAUGCCAGGGGCUGUGAGAAUGAAGGUACACACGGUCUAUAGUCCUGUAGACCGUGUGUAGGACUGAAAAGCGAACUUCCGCAUGACUCGAGGAUCUUUCCACAAGUUGUGUGGAAUUAUGGAAGGAGUCAUGAAGCCCACGGAGGUGACUGUUCGAGCACCAGUACCGCUGUCCUCCAAGGCAUAGUGGACGACAUGUAUCGCUUCUGGAGCAUCAGCUGUAAGAUGCCUGGGUGUGCUCAUGACGCUAACGUGUUCAGCCAGGCACACCUGUUACCAAAAGAACCAAGAGAAAUCGAUGGCGUCUCAAUCGGUCACUUCCUGUUGGGAGAUCCAGCGUAUCCUCUCAUGGACUGGAUCAUGAAAGGCUACACCCAUUCCCCAAAAUCACCCCUGAGCAAGAGUCCUUCAAUGUCUACUUAAGCUCUGCAAGGACCACGGCGGAGAUUGCGUUUGGGAGACUGAAGUCACGCUGGAGAGUUUUGAUGAAGCGUAGUGACUUCCACUUUUCAUUCACCUCUAAAGUGAUUGCUACCUGUUGUGCAUUGCGCAAUUUCUGUGAGAAUGAGAAGGAAGUUGUGAAUCCCAACUGGUCAGUGGAAGCAGCUACUGAUAAUCAAAAGUUAUUUUCAUGGGCUUAGUUGGGGGUUUGCUGUCUAGUCUUGAUUUAAGAGUUAGGUAAAGGGGGGUAAGCAGGAUCUGCCAAGCAGGCAGACACGAGUCUGACAGGAUGGGGAGUCAGUUUAUGUCCUGGCUGAGGAAUGUAAGGUCUGCGGGUCAACUAGAAGAUUUACCAGCCAAAGGGGGGUUAGAGACACACCAACACUAUUCAACAUACACACUCUGUUUACGAUGUUUACGUUAAGUCAGGAGUCUGGACAUUGGAUGUGACCGGAUCUUAGAUGCGGGAGGUGGAAGGUCCUCCUCUACGCCAGUUUAGGGCCAAUAGAAAUAUUUCCUUCUCUGUCUUUCAAGGGUUAUAAAACAUGCCUGAACUGCUCCUGCCUUUGCAAACGCAGCGCUGAUACUUGACCUGUGAUCUGACAAAUACAUUUCCCAGAACGAGAGAAGUUGUUCGGCUGAAUUUUUGAUAACCCCGACCAG
ensembl:lncRNA